UACGGGGGGGGCAAGCGUUGUUCGGAAUUACUGGGCGUAAAGGGCUCGUAGGCGGCCAACUAAGUCCGACGUGAAAUCCCCAGGCUUAACCUGGGAACUGCGUCGGAUACUGGAUGGCUUGAAUUCGGGAGAGGGAUGCAGAAUUCCAGGUGUAGCGGUGAAAUGCGUAGAUAUCUGGAGGAAUACCGGUGGCGAAAGCGGCUCUCUGGCCCGGAUCUGACGCUGAGGCGCGAAAGCGUGGGGAGCAAACAGG
rnacentral:rRNA from 1 species